UGGGAAUUUUGGACAAUGGCGCAAGCCUGAUCCAGCCAUGCCGCGUGCGGGAAGAAGGCCUUCGGGUUGUAAACCGCUUUUGUCAGGGAGGAAAUCUUCUGAGUUAAUACCUCGGGAGGAUGACGGUACCUGAAGAAUAAGCACCGGCUAACUACGUGCCAGCAGCCGCGGUAAUACGUAGGGUGCAAGCGUUAAUCGGAAUUACUGGGCGUAAAGCGUGCGCAGGCGGUUUUGUAAAGACAGAGGUGAAAUCCCCGGGCUCAACCUGGGAACUGCCUUUGUGACUGCAAGGCUUGAGUGCGGCAAGAGGGGGGAUGGAAUUCCGCGUGUAGCAGUGAAAUGCGUAGAUAUGCGGAGGAAACACCGAUGGCGAAGGCAAUCCCCUGGGCCUGCACUGACGCUCAUGCACG
rnacentral:rRNA from 1 species